UUUUUAACUUAAAAAAAAAAAAAAAAAAUAUUAAAUUACGCUUGUUUAAGUUCAUGUAUAAACCAGUAGUCAAUUAUGUGAACCCUUUAAUCCAGUUCCUUACGCCAGGUCUUUUAAUAUGUAUAUAUAUAUGUGCUAAGAAAAUAGCCUUUACUUUUUUUCUUUUUUUUUCUUUUAUCUUUGCUUUUUUCUUUGCUUUUUUCUUUGCUUUUUUCUUUGCUUUUUUUUUUUUUUUUUUUUUUUUUUUUUUUUUUUUUUUUUUNNNNNNNNNNNNNNNNNNNNNNNNNNNNNNNNNNNNNNNNNNNNNNNNNNNNNNNNNNNNNNNNNNNNNNNNNNNNNNNNNNNNNNNNNNNNNNNNNNNNUUUUUUUUUUUUUUUUUUUUUUUUUUUUUUUUUUUUUUCUUUUUUUGUUGUCGAAUUUUAAUUGUAAAAAUAAAAAAAAAAUUGCUUUAUUCUUUCAUAAAAAAGAUAUUUCAUCAGACAUAUAUAUAUCUACGCAUACAUCAUACAUAAACCAUAUGUUUUUAUUACAUGUCAUUUUUUUUUUUUUUUGAAAAUCAAAAAAAUUAAAAUAAAAAAGUAACAAUCACUAUUUUUUUUUUUGCAUAAUAUUUCGUUUAAGCCUAUUUUAAAAAUUAUAUUUCAAAAAAAAAAAAAAAAAAAAAAAAAAAUGUAAAUAUAUAUAUAUAUAUAUAUAUAUUUUUUUUUCCCUUUAUAAUGCAUGUAUACACAUAAAAAUAUACGUAGACGUACAAGCAAAGAGCGUUUCGAUUUGGUGUUAUUUUAUUUUACUUUAUUAUAUCUUUGAAAGCUAGUUAAAUUCUUACACAUUUAUACCACAUACAAUGAAGAAUGUUUCAAUUAAUUUAAAGUGUUUAUUGCUGAAAAACAGUUUCUUUUUUUCUUCAAUAUUCCCUACUAAAUUUUCUUUUUUUUUUUGUUUUCAGAAAUUUAAUUAUUUCCAUUCACAAAAUAUUUUAAAAAUUAAAAAUAACUUAAAAAAUAAAAAUAACUUAAAAAAUAAAAAUAGCUUAAAAAAUAAAAAUAGCUUAAAAAAUAAAAAUAGUUUCAAUGAUCAUAAUAAGUGUAAUAAUAAAAGUCAUUUAGUUAGUGACAUAUUAAUUAUUAUAACUCCGUUUGUUGUAUGUUGUGAAAAUGUAGAAGAUCGCGAUGAACUUUUAAAUAUGGACUCUGUAGACCAUUUCUCAGAACAAAAAAAAAAAAAUUAUAAAAUUUUAAAUUUAGUAUAUUAUCAAAAAUUUAUUAUUGAACCUUUUUUUUUUUAUCUUAAACAGUCCAUAACACUUGUUGUCUAUUCUUUCAUUAAUUUUUAUUUAUUUUUAAUUAACAUAUUUUAUUACGUUUCUAAGUCUAUAAAUAAAAAAUGUAUAGAAAUGUCAAACCAAAAUUUAGUUUCUUGUUCUCCUCCCCUGGAUAAUUUAUAUAACAGUUUUGUUACUAUUUAUACAAUACAUAAAAAAAAUAAUAUAUUAGAACAUACGUUUAAAAUACAAAACCUGAAGUUCUUGGGCUCUGGAUUUAUUUAUGACAAAAAAGGUAAACUAAAAAUAAACAUGUGCACUAAAAAUAUAUAUAUAUAUAUAUAUAUAUAUAUAUAUAUAUAUAUGUAUGUACAUUUUUCCCGCUUCCCAUUUAAAGGAUAUAUACUAACAGCUGCGCAUAAUAUAACGUCCUUAGAUGAUAUAUUUGUUGCUAAAAAUUGUGACAAGUUCUAUUUAGCAAAUGUAACCGGUUUGCACAAAGGUAAAAACUUUUUUAUAUACAAAAAAAAAAAAAAAAAAUAAAUCACAUGUAAAUAGUGCAUACAACGUGUCUUUUUUUAUUCGUAAUAAUAAUAGUAAUAACAGUAAUAAUAGUAAUAACACUAAUAGUAAUAAUAGUAAUAAUAGUAAUAAUAAUGAUAAUAUGCUUAUAGAAAAAAAAAAAUACCACAGAACGAUAAAACAGACUUGUUAUGUGUUUUACAUAUUUAUUUAUUUAUUUAUUUAUUUAUUUUAUUUUAUUUAUUUUUUUUGUUUUUCAAACAUUUGUAAUUACACACAUAUAAAUUCAAUCAUUUCAGAGUCUGAUGUUUGUGUUAUGAAAAUCAAUUCGAAAGAGCCGUUUUCUCACAUAUCUUUAGGUAAAUAAACACACUUUAUAACUUAAAUAAUAUAUGCUU
rnacentral:lncRNA from 1 species